UAGUGUUAGCUUUUCUUCAGCAUAGAUAACUGGAGGAAUAAGGGCUGGGUAAGACGGGUGCCAGCCGCCGCGGUAAUACCUGCAGCCCAAGUGGUGGUCGAUAUUAUUGAGUCUAAAACGUUCGUAGCCGGUUUAAUAAAUCCUUGGGUAAAUCGGGGGGCUUAACCUUCCGAAUUCCGAGGAGACUGUUAAACUUGGGACCGGGAGAGGCAAGAGGUACUUCUGGGGUAGGGGUAAAAUCCUGUAAUCCUAGAAGGACCACCGGUGGCGAAGGCGUCUUGCUAGAACGGAUCCGACGGUGAGGGACGAAGCCCUGGGGCGCAAACGGGAUUAGAUACCCCGGUAGUCCAGGGUGUAAACGCUGCAGACUUGGUGUUGGAGGCCCUUCGGGGGCAUUCAGUGCCGGAGAGAAGUUGUUAAGUCUGCUACUUGGGGAGUACGUCCGCAAGGAUGAAACUUAAAGGAAUUGGCGGGGGAG
rnacentral:rRNA from 1 species